rnacentral:rRNA from 1 species
CCUACGGGAGGCAGCAGUGGGGAAUUUUGCGCAAUGGGGGAAACCCUGACGCAGCAACGCCGCGUGGAGGAUGAAAUCCCUUGGGAUGUAAACUCCUUUCGAUAGGGAAGAUAAUGACGGUACCUAUAGAAGAAGCCCCGGCUAACUUCGUGCCAGCAGCCGCGGUAAUACGAGGGGGGCAAGCGUUGUUCGGAAUUAUUGGGCGUAAAGGGUGCGUAGGCGGUUUGACAAGUCUUAUGUGAAAUCUUCGGGCUCAACCCGAAGUCUGCAUGGGAAACUGUCGGGCUUGAGUAUGGGAGAGGUGAGUGGAAUUUCCGGUGUAGCGGUGAAAUGCGUAGAUAUCGGAAGGAACACCUGUGGCGAAAGCGGCUCACUGGACCAUAACUGACGCUGAUGCACGAAAGCUAGGGGAGCAAACAGGAUUAGAUACCCUGGUAGUCCUAGCCCUAAACGAUGAUUGUUUGAUGUGGGGGGUACCCAAUCCUCCCGUGUCGAAGCUAACGCGAUA